UACGGAGGGUGCAAGCGUUGUUCGGACUUACUGGGCGUAAAGGGAGCGCAGGCGGCCGGGUCAGUCUGAAGUGAAAGCCCGGGGCUUAACCCCGGAAGUGCUUUGGAUACUGCCCGGCUCGAGUACGUGAGGGGAAAGCGGAAUUCCAGGUGUAGCGGUGAAAUGCGUAGAUAUCUGGAGGAACACCGGUGGCGAAAGCGGCUUUCUGGCACGUUACUGACGCUGAGGCUCGAAAGCGUGGGGAGCAAACGGG
rnacentral:rRNA from 1 species